rnacentral:snRNA from 1 species
CAUCCUUCUGGCCUUUUGGCUAAGAUCAAGUGUAGUAUCUGUUCUUAUCAGAGUUGCUUACUUGGAACAUUUUGGGGAAAAAUUAACAACAUGACCAGAGAGCUGCUCUAAGCAGCUGUAAAACAUUGAAGGUAGAAAUAGCCGGUCCACAGUAGUUUUCACUCUUU